rnacentral:rRNA from 1 species
UACGUGGGGUGCAAGCGUUGUCCGGAAUUAUUGGGCGUAAAGAGCUCGUAGGCGGUCUGUCGCGUCGGCUGUGAAAACUCGGGGCUCAACCCCGAGCCUGCAGUCGAUACGGGCAGACUAGAGUGCUGUAGGGGAGACUGGAAUUCCUGGUGUAGCGGUGAAAUGCGCAGAUAUCAGGAGGAGCACCGAUGGCGAAGGCAGGUCUCUGGGCUGUAACUGACGCUGAGGAGCGAAAGCAUGGGGAGCGAACAGG